UGGGGAAUAUUGCACAAUGGGCGAAAGCCUGAUGCAGCGACGCCGCGUGAGGGAUGACGGCCUUCGGGUUGUAAACCUCUUUCAGCAGGGACGAAGCGCAAGUGACGGUACCUGCAGAAGAAGCACCGGCUAACUACGUGCCAGCAGCCGCGGUAAUACGUAGGGUGCAAGCGUUGUCCGGAAUUACUGGGCGUAAAGAGUUCGUAGGCGGUUUGUCGCGUCGUUUGAAAACCAGCAGCUCAACUGCUGGCUUGCAGGCGAUACGGGCAGACUUGAGUACUGCAGGGGAGACUGGAAUUCCUGGUGUAGCGGUGAAAUGCGCAGAUAUCAGGAGGAACACCGGUGGCGAAGGCGGGUCUCUGGGCAGUAACUGACGCUGAGGAACGAAAGCGUGGGUAGCGAACAGG
rnacentral:rRNA from 1 species